UGCUUUACACACUUAAUCAACUAGAUCUGGAUUUAUUGGAAGAACAUAAAUAUAAAUAAUGAACCUUGUAUUAUUAUCAUUAUUGCCAUUUUUUAAAGAGUCAUUUUCCUGACUUCAACCACAAUUUUAUGUUACAUUUGGGGGAGACAGAGAGGACUGCAACAAAAUUUGGUUUCAGCUUUAAAAAAAAAAAGAACAGAAAAGAAAACAAACCUCAACAUUUUGGGAUACUUGUAUCCAGACUUUUGAUCUGUCCCAUGAUUUAAAUAAAGACCGUUUAUAACAAACGCUGAGAUCCACAGUUGGCUUUGAUUUUGGAAUCUUGGAUCGGGCCCACUAGGGAACUAAAGAAUAUAACAUUGUAAAAAUAAUUGGGGUUUACUCCCUCCUCCCAACACAUACCAUAUUCAAGUUAGGAAAUGAGGAGAGCAGAAGGCUGUCUUUCUUGGCUAAACCUUCCGACUAGCCAUCCUUAUUUUCCAAUUGUCAAGUUGCAUUUCUCUAGACUGAAAGCUGGGAUAAAAGAAUGAGUGAAUAACUGGAUCCUUUUCAUCCCUGAACACUUCAAGUGUACAAAGGCAAAGAAGUUUCUCCCUGUGGUGCCCUUGAGCAGCCCGGAGCUCUUCUCAAAUGAUAUAAGAGGAAUCUUCAUGCAAGUUUUCCAAUAUGAAUCUGUUUAUGGCCCCUUGGUUAAUAGAUGCAAGAUGGGACCCCCAGAGUAAGAAGAAAGAAUUCUGUGCAUCUUAGCCAGCUGCUGUUUCUCACCAGUUCCCACACUCAUCCACUUGUUCUCUUGUCAGAUGCCCUGAAUGUGCUCACCUCCUGACACCGACUGAAUUGCACAAAGACUGAAUGUGUCUUACCUUGAAGAACCAAACCAGAUUUCUCAAUGGUGUAGAGGAAAGCUGAAAAUGGAGCAACAGGGGACUUAGCAACCAGGAUCUGCAGAA